GUCUAUGGCCAUGCUACCCUGAACAUGCCCAAUCUCGUCUGAUCUCGGAAGCUAAGCAGGGUCAGGCCUGGUUAAUACUCGGAUGGGAGACCACCUAGGAAAUACCAGGUGCUGUAGGCG
rnacentral:rRNA from 1 species